AUUGAACGCUGGCGGCAGGCCUAACACAUGCAAGUCGAACGAGUGGCGGACGGGUGAGUAAUGUCUGGGAAACUGCCUGAUGGAGGGGGAUACCUACUGGAAACGGUAGCUAAUACCGCAUACCAUCAGAUGUGCCCAGAUGGGAUUAGCUUGUGGGUGGGGUAACGGCUUACCAAGGCGACGAUCCCUAGCUGGUCUGAGAGGAUGACCAGCCACACUGGAACUGAGACACGGUCCAGACUCCUACGGGAGGCAGCAGUGGGGAAUAUUGCACAAUGGGCGCAAGCCUGAUGCAGCCAUGCCGCGUGUAUGAUGAAGGCCUUCGGGUUGUAAAGUACUUUCAUCAGGGAGGCGUUACCCGCAGAAGAAGCACCGGCUAACUCCGUGCCAGCAGCCGCGGUAAUAC
rnacentral:rRNA from 1 species